UACGUAGGGUCCGAGCGUUGUCCGGAAUUAUUGGGCGUAAAGAGCUCGUAGGCGGUUUGUCGCGUCUGCUGUGAAAUCCCGAGGCUCAACCUCGGGUCUGCAGUGGGUACGGGCAGACUGGAGUGCGGUAGGGGAGAAUGGAAUUCCUGGUGUAGCGGUGGAAUGCGCAGAUAUCAGGAGGAACACCAAUGGCGAAGGCAGCUCUCUGGUACGUGACUGACGCUAAGACGCGAAAGCGUGGGGAGCGAACAGG
rnacentral:rRNA from 1 species